rnacentral:rRNA from 1 species
GAUGAACGCUGGCGGCGUGCUUAUACAUGCAAGUCGAACGAGGUGCUUUUGUAGCAAUACGGAAGUAUCCUAGUGGCGAACGGGUGAGUAACGCGUUGGUGACCUACCCCGAAGUGUGGGAUAACAGUCCGAAAGGAUUGCUAAUACCGCAUGUGGUCCCCGGGUUUAGAAACCGGUGACUAAAGCAGUAAUGCGCUUUGGGAGGGACCUGCGUCCCAUCAGCUAGUUGGUGAGGUAACGGCUCACCAAGGCGUCGACGGGUAAGGGACCUGAGAGGGUGGUCCCUCACAAUGGCACUGAAACACGGGCCACACACCUACGGGUGGCAGCAGUAGGGAAUAUUGGGCAAUGGGCGAAAGCCUGACCCAGCAACGCCGCGUGUACGAUGAAGGCCUUCGGGUCGUAAAGUACUUUUCUGGGAGAUGAGAAAGGACAGUAUCCCAGGAAUAAGCUUCGGCUAACUACGUGCCAGCAGCCGCCGUAAGAC